UAACUGCGCGGUAAACACAUAUAACAGCAAGCCUCAAGGGUUGGAGCAUCCUAUUAUUGUGGUGGUCAGAUUUGGAAGGUUAAACCACCAACAAGCAUAUGGCCAUAUUAGCAACGUGUUUGAAGCAACUAAAGUUUUGUUCAACCCUAACAUUCCAGAGGCCCAUGACCUGCUUCAAAGCCUUGACGAAAUACCUGAAGGUAGGCAGCGUUUCUCUCAACUUUCCAGUGCAGAUUACCAAGUUGUAGACAAUGAGCCAA